rnacentral:tRNA from 1 species
GCCGGUGUAGCUCAGUUGGUAGAGCACGUCAUUCGUAAUGAUGGGGUCGUAGCUUCAAGUCCUAUCACCGGCACCA